AUCAGGCAUGGUGGUGCAUGCCUGUAGUCCCAGCUAGUCAGGAGGCUGAGGCGGGAGAAUCGUUUGAGCCCAGGAGUUCCAGGCUGCAGUGUGCCAUGAUCAUUCCUAUGAAUAGCCACUGCACUCCUGCCUGGGCAACAGAGCCAGAUCCUGUCUGUU
rnacentral:SRP_RNA from 1 species